GAUUACCCGCUGAACUUAAGCAUAUCAUUUAGCGGAGGAAAAGAAACUAAAAAGGAUUCCCUUAGUAACGGCGAGUGAAACGGGAAGAGCCCAGCGCCGAAUCGAUCAGUCUUUGGCUGCUUCGAAAUGUGGCGUAUAGGUGUAAGUUUCCAGCAGUGUCGUAUGUCCGAAGUCCUUACGAUUGAGGCCAUAAACCAGAGAGGGUGCGAGCCCCGUUCUGGAUAGCGGCACUGUUGGUUCGCUUGCUCCUUGGAGUCGGGGUGUUUGUGAAUGCAGC
rnacentral:rRNA from 1 species